AAUUCUUAAAGGGAUAUACUUCCAUCCUCUAUAUAUAUAGCUUUUGAUAGAAAGGGUCAUUCUACAUGCCUCCAAAUUGAUGUCAUUUGCUGCUCUUUUAGCAAUACUUUUACUACUCAUGUCCUUUGAGCUAGGAAGUGCUGCCCAGCCUAGUAUUAAACUUGGGCGAAAACUUUUCCAUAUUGAAUAAAAAUAAUACUAAAAUAUAUAUAAAUAUAAAAUAAUCCUCAUCUUAUAUGUUGGGUUUGGAAGGUUGAGUUGCGGGAGAGAAUUGCCAUGAACCAUUGGAUUAACCAGUUGCCAUGGGAAGAGUAGUGCAUACAUAGCACGCUUCAGUUCAAGUUCUUUUAAAUUCUUCUAUUAUUAAAUUUGGACUCUUGCCCCCAAGACAAUUUUUUUCCUCGCAUCACCCUAUCGUCUUCAAGUUUGAUGGUCUGUCACAUCGAAAAUAAACAAUAAGUCUUCCAUACAAUUAAUUAAUUAACACCACAAAUGCAAGAAAUUAAGUUCUCUGGCUUGAGAGCAUGGAUAUUUCUGGUAACCAGUUGUAGGGAACAUUCCUAAGGAAAUAGAGUAGAGGGUUGUUAUAGCUAGAAGACACUUGAGAUUCAAUGGCUCAAUCCCAACUAAACUUGAGACUUUGGAUUUAUCAUCAAACAAUCUAACCGGCCCUAUUCCUCAAAGUUUAGAAAAGCUCGAGUUUAUCCAGACGUUAAGUUUGUCUUUCAACCAUUUGGAAGGGGAGGUUCCUAUGAAAGGUUUUUUUAUGAACCUCAUCAAGUAUGAAGAGUUAAGAUCCUGUCUGACCCCGUUGCAAAGAUUGAACGUUGUCAUUGAUGUUGCUUCUGCUCUCGACUACUUGCACCAUGACUGUGAUCCACCAGUAGUGCAUUGUGAUCUGAAACCUUCCAAUGUCCUUCUAGAUGAAAAUAUGGUUGCACAUGUUGCAGAUUUUGGAUUGGCAAGGUUACUCUCUCAAACUACAUCAGAGAUGCAGAGUAGCACGCUAGGACUCAAGGGAUCUAUCGGGCUAUAUUGAUUCCUAUUUAUACUAAUAGAGUUUUCCUUUGUUUAA